AAUUAUAUUAGUGCUCCUAGGUAUGGUUAAUGGCACCAAAGGAUGGAAGGUCAGUUUGAAUAAACUGGACCACACUAUGAUGGUCACAAUUGGUAGCAGUGUACUGAUCAUCAUAUAAAAGCCACUGAACACAUGAAAGGAAUUACAGUACAUCACACAUCAAACAUUUUGGCCUUGUGCUUCCUUCCUCUAAUCCUACUGGCAGGAAAUGCUCUACAUAUCCUGUGAGGUGACCAGAUACAUUUAAAAGUGGUCCCUUGCUCCACAAGCUCUUGCAUACAGAAAUAGUUUCAAAUUAAGCUGAACCACUUCUACAUGGCGCUAAUAUACUAUGUCCUCAUUUUCAACAAAGAAAUGGUUCUCCAGGCAUAAGAAAGAGAAGUGGUGUGCAGAAUAUGUGGAAGGAAUUCUUUAGAUACCUUACAUAUCUUAAUGAAAAACUGUGGAGUGACAAGGUGAGGAUGCUGAUAGUUUAACCAAAGAGUGACUUCUUAAGAACACGGAGGCAGAGAGUAGACUGGACAAGACUGUGUGAAAGGCACCCUGAAUGACAGACUAAAGAGUCUAAACUUUAUUCUAGAGGUCCUGGGGAGACAUCAAAGAUUUCUGAACAGGCCAAUGGACUUCAGACAGUAGCUGUUUCAUCUCAUAGCAAUGGACUUUAAUAAUUCUUCCUGACCAAAUACUGAGUUAUGGGAACUGUAGUUCUCUACUUCUUUGAAAACAGAUCUCUGUACCUGAAGGAAAGAAGCCAGAGAAAUUACUGAAAGGGUCCUGCUUGCAGACGGGUCGAACCAACAAGGUGCGUCUGUUC